AGGCAGUAAGAGCCGUUUGAGUCUGCGAUUUCCGAAUGGGGAAACCCAACUGCAUAAGCAGUUACUGUUAACUGAAUACAUAGGUUAACAGAGCAAACCGGGGGAACUGAAACAUCUAAGUACCCCGAGGAGAAGAAAUCAACCGAGAUUCCGGUAGUAGCGGCGAGCGAACCUGGAUUAGCCCUUAAGCACUCGGUGAAGUAGGUGAACAAGCUGGAAAGCUUGGCGAUACAGGGUGAUAGCCCCGUAACCGACGCUUCAUCGAGCGUGAAAUCGAGUAGGGCGGGACACGUGAUAUCCUGUCUGAAUAUGGGGGGACCAUCCUCCAAGGCUAAAUACUCCUGACUGACCGAUAGUGAACCAGUACCGUGAGGGAAAGGCGAAAAGAACCCCUGUGAGGGGAGUGAAAUAGAACCUGAAACCGUGUACGUACAAGCAGUAGGAGCACCUUCGUGGUGUGACUGCGUACCUUUUGUAUAAUGGGUCAGCGACUUAUAUUCAGUGGCAAGGUUAACCGUAUAGGGGAGCCGUAGCGAAAGCGAGUCUUAACUGGGCGCUCAGUCUCUGGAUAUAGACCCGAAACCGGGUGAUCUAGCCAUGGGCAGGUUGAAGGUUGAGUAACAUCAACUGGAGGACCGAACCGACUAAUGUUGAAAAAUUAGCGGAUGACUUGUGGCUAGGGGUGAAAGGCCAAUCAAACUCGGAGAUAGCUGGUUCUCCCCGAAAGCUAUUUAGGUAGCGCCUCGGACGAAUACUACUGGGGGUAGAGCACUGUUAAGGCUAGGGGGUCAUCCCGACUUACCAACCCUUUGCAAACUCCGAAUACCAGUAAGUACUAUCCGGGAGACACACGGCGGGUGCUAACGUCCGUCGUGGAGAGGGAAACAACCCAGACCGCCAGCUAAGGUCCCAAAGUAUUGCUAAGUGGGAAACGAUGUGGGAAGGCUCAGACAGCUAGGAUGUUGGCUUAGAAGCAGCCAUCAUUUAAAGAAAGCGUAAUAGCUCACUAGUCGAGUCGGCCUGCGCGGAAGAUGUAACGGGGCUAAGCAAUACACCGAAGCUGCGGCAAUAUCUUUUAGA
rnacentral:rRNA from 1 species